UACGGAGGGUGCAAGCGUUGUUCGGAAUCAUUGGGCGUAAAGCGUGCGUAGACGGUUACAUAAGUCGGGUGUGAAAGCCCCGGGCUCAACCUGGGAAUUGCAUUCGAGACUGCGUAGCUAGGGUGCGGAAGAGGGAAGCGGAAUUUCCGGUGUAGCGGUGAAAUGCGUAGAUAUCGGAAGGAACACCAGUGGCGAAAGCGGCUUCCUGGUCCAGCACCGACGUUCAGGCACGAAAGCGUGGGGAGCAAACAGG
rnacentral:rRNA from 1 species